rnacentral:rRNA from 1 species
CCUACGAGCGGCAGCAGUAGGGAAUCUUCCACAAUGGGCGAAAGCCUGAUGGAGCAACGCCGCGUGGGUGAAGAAGGCCUUCGGAUCGUAAAACCCUGUUGUUAGAGAAGAAAGUGCGUGAGAGUAACUGUUCACGUCUCGACGGUAUCUAACCAGAAAGCCACGGCUAACUACGUGCCAGCAGCCGCGGUAAUACGUAGGUGGCAAGCGUCAUCCGGCUGUAUUGGGCGUAAAGGGGACGCAGGCGGUCUUUUAAGUCUGAUGUGAAAGCCUUCGGCUUAACCUGAGUAGUGCAGUGGAAACUGGGAGACUUGAGCUCAGGAGAGGAGAGUGGAACGCCAUGUGUAGCGGUGAAAUGCGUAGAUAUCUGGAAGAACACCAGUGGCGAAAGCGGCUCUCUGGUCUGUAACUGACGCUGAGGUUCGAAAGCGUGGGUAGCAAACAGGAUUAGAUACCCGUGUAGUC